rnacentral:rRNA from 1 species
UGGGGAAUAUUGCACAAUGGGCGAAAGCCUGAUGCAGCGACGCCGCGUGAGGGAUGACGGCCUUCGGGUUGUAAACCUCUUUCAGUAGGGACGAAGCGCAAGCGACGGUACCUGCAGAAGAAGCACCGGCUAACUACGUGCCAGCAGCCGCGGUAAUACGUAGGGUGCGAGCGUUGUCCGGAAUUACUGGGCGUAAAGAGCUCGUAGGCGGUUAGUCACGUCGUCUGUGAAAUCCUAGGGCUUAACCCUGGACGUGCAGGCGAUACGGGCUGACUUGAGUACUACAGGGGAGACUGGAAUUUCUGGUGUAGCGGUGGAAUGCACAGAUAUCAGGAAGAACACCGAUGGCGAAGGCAGGUCUCUGGGUAGUAACUGACGCUAAGGAGCGAAAGCAUGGGUAGCGAACAGG